GAUGAACGCUAGCUACAGGCUUAACACAUGCAAGUCGAGGGGAAACGACAUCGAAAGCUUGCUUUUGAUGGGCGUCGACCGGCGCACGGGUGAGUAACGCGUAUCCAACCUGCCCAUCACUUGGGGAUAACCUUGCGAAAGUAAGACUAAUACCCAAUGAUAUCUCUAGAAGACAUCUGAAAGAGAUUAAAGAUUUAUCGGUGAUGGAUGGGGAUGCGUCUGAUUAGCUUGUUGGCGGGGUAACGGCCCACCAAGGCAACGAUCAGUAGGGGUUCUGAGAGGAAGGUCCCCCACAUUGGAACUGAGACACGGUCCAAACUCCUACGGGAGGCAGCAGUGAGGAAUAUUGGUCAAUGGGCGAGAGCCUGAACCAGCCAAGUAGCGUGCAGGAAGACGGCCCUAUGGGUUGUAAACUGCUUUUAUAAGGGAAUAAAGUGAGAGUCGUGACUCUUUUUGCAUGUACCUUAUGAAUAAGGACCGGCUAAUUCCGUG
rnacentral:rRNA from 1 species